UACGUAGGGGGCUAGCGUUGUCCGGAAUCAUUGGGCGUAAAGCGCGUGUAGGCGGCCCGGUAAGUCCGCUGUGAAAGUCGGGGGCUCAACCCUCGGAUGCCGGUGGAUACUGUCGGGCUUGAGUACGGAAGAGGCGAGUGGAAUUCCUGGUGUAGACGGUGAAAUGCGCAGAUAUCAGGAGGAACACCGGUGGCGAAGGCGGGUCUCUGGGCCGAAACUGACGCUGAGGAGCGAAAGCGUGGGGAGCAAACAGGG
rnacentral:rRNA from 1 species